rnacentral:antisense_RNA from 1 species
UGUGGGAGCGGGCUUGCUCGCGAUGCAAACGCUGCGGUCUGUCAGGCAAUCCGCGUCGAUACGAUCGCGGGCAAGCCCGCUCCCACA